AUGAAAAACGUGACCGAGCGUGGAGAUCAGAGAAAGGCUACUGCUUCCUUGUUAAUGCUUAUGUCUUGGGAGAUAUGAAAAGAUCAUAAUGCAAGGGUUUUUCGUAACACCGCCGCUACGAUGAUGAUACUCGUCGCGAAGAUAAAAGACGAGGCUCAACUUUGGGCUAUUGCUGGUGCCACCCACUUGAGUAUUGUAAUGCUGCGAGAGUGGUUCUUUGUCUCCCGCUUUGCGGCCAUUUGUCUUAAACCUUCUCCCUUAAUCAAUGAAAAUGGCAAAUCUUUUGCCUUGUUUCAAAAAGAAAAGAGGAAGGGAGAGGUAGAGUCCCCUGACUUUGCUUUGCUGCAGGCGCAUAAACAGUGA
rnacentral:rRNA from 1 species